CAGAGGAGGAAGAAGUGCUAAACUUGGAGGAGAUAAAUAUACACUGUGUGCACAAUUAUUAGGCAAGUUGUAUUUUUGAGGAUAAAUUUUAUUUUUGAACAACUGCAGUGCUCUCGCUCAAUCCAAAAUGUUAAUAAACCUCAAACCUUAAUAUUUAAGGGAGUAAAAGUGAGAUUUUGACUUCCUUAGGAGAAUAUCUAUGUGUGCAUAAUUAUUGGGGACAGCUAUUAGUGUGUAGAAUUAUUAUGCAACUAAAUUAAAAAUGAAAAAUUUUCCAUCUCACUUGUUUAUUUUCACUUGUUAAAGUGAGAAUGAUAAACAAACAACUCAAUUUACAAAUAAAAAUUGUUGAAAUUAAAAAAAAAAAAUCUGUGACCAAUAUAGCCACCCUUCUUUUCAUUAACAGUCAUAAGCCUUCCAUUCAUGGAGUCUUUCAGUUUCUUGAUCUGUUGACGAUCAACUUUUUGUGUUGCAGUAACCAAAGCCUUCCAGACACUGUUCCAGACACUGUUCAGAGAGGUGUACUGUCUUCCUUCACUGUAAAUUUCCCGUUUAAGAAGGGCUCACAAGUUCUCAACAGGGUUUAGGUCAGGUGAAGAAGGAGGCCACAUCAUUAUUCUUUUGUUUUUAAGGCCUUUACUGGCGAGCCACAUAGUGGAGUACUUUGUUGCAUGCAAUGGAGCAUUGUCCUGCAUAAAAAUCAUGGUUUUCUUGAAAGAUGCAGACUUUUGCCUGUACCACUGCUUGAAGAAAGUGUCUUCUAAAAACUAGCAUUGGAUUUGGGAGUUGAUUUUAAGUCCAUCUUUAACCCAAAAAGGUCCAGCUAGCUCAUCUUUAAUAAUACCAGCCCAUACCAGUACCCCGCCUCCACCUUGCUGGUGUCUGAUUCGAAGUGGAGCUCUGUGCCCAUUACUGAUCCAGCCACGGGCCC